UGGGCGAAAGCCUGAUCCAGCCAUGCCGCGUGAGUGAUGAAGGCCCUAGGGUUGUAAAGCUCUUUCACCGGUGAAGAUAAUGACGGUAACCGGAGAAGAAGCCCCGGCUAACUUCGUGCCAGCAGCCGCGGUAAUACGAAGGGGGCUAGCGUUGUUCGGAAUUACUGGGCGUAAAGCGCACGUAGGCGGAUAUUUAAGUCAGGGGUGAAAUCCCGGGGCUCAACCCCGGAACUGCCUUUGAUACUGGGUAUCUCGAGUCCGAGAGAGGUGAGUGGAAUUCCGAGUGUAGAGGUGAAAUUCGUAGAUAUUCGGAGGAACACCAGUGGCGAAGGCGGCUCACUGGCUCGGUACUGACGCUGAGGUGCGAAAGCGUGGGGAGUAAACAGGAUUAGAUACCCUGGUAGUCCACGCUGUAAACGAUGGAAGCUAGCCGUCGGCAAGUUUACUUGUCGGUGGCGCAGCUAACGCAUUAAGCUUCCCGCCUGGGGAGUACGAUCGCAAGAUUA
rnacentral:rRNA from 1 species